AAAAUAUGUUAUGUAUCAUCAUCAAAUAAAAGAUAUAUUCAAAUAUUAAGACUAAACAAAAGUGAGGACACUUUAAUUUUCGACAAAACACGAAGAUAAGCAAAUGAAUUAAUGAUGCUAGUACCUGGUGCAUGUGUAUUUUAAUGUGAUAAAAACCAGCCCAUAUAAAUGUAAAAGAGGAACUAAAGAUACCAGAAGGACAGUCAAACUGGGAGAUCGAAAAUAAACUGACAACUCCAUGGCUAAAACAGUAAAAGACAAACAGACAAAUAAUAGUAGAAAAGACACAACGUAGAAAACUAAUAACUAAGCAACACAAGCC
rnacentral:lncRNA from 1 species